GAUUUAAGGAAAGUCAAUAUUUAAAAUGUGAAGGAAAGAUUUUCUAAGUUUUUUUUCUGCUUGUUUCAGCUGAGUUCAACAAAUUCUGAGAAAGUAUGAUCCACAGACAUUGUGCAAGGUAAUGAGAAUGUAAUGAUGUAUAAUGCAUAUUAUCUGACACCAAGAGGAUAAUAAUCUACUAUCCAUAACUAUUAAAGUGAUGGUUGAUGCUUUUUUACAAUAUGGCUAAAUAUUUAUCGUAAUAAGGAAAACUCAACAUAAUAUUUACAGCUUUUAGAAUACUUAUUUGUAUAAAUUGUAAUUUGCAAACACUACACUGAACUGUUGUAUUUUUUAUUCUAUUUUUUAAAACAGUCUCUCUCUCCUUCUCUCUCUUUGUUUAUAUAAAAUGUUUCUUUGGUUGCUGCCUGUGAAGUAACUGAUGUGGAAUACUCCU
rnacentral:lncRNA from 1 species